UCUCCAGGCUGUGCCAUAUCCCAGUACUUCAAUCUAACAGUGACUUCAUAAUGACAUCAAGAGCAGGCUUCACAGGUCAUAACGACCUCCGUUCCUGUUGGGCAUCCUGCCACUUGGGAGUUAGACUUGGACUUAGCCCACAUUUAAUAGCCCCUCCUAGAUCACACCCUGACUGGACUGGGGAAAAUAUGGACUCCUGCAGUGUGUUUUUCAUCUAGGACCCUCAAAGCUCUUCACCUAUCAGCCUUCAGCCAGCAAAGAAAGUCUAGAUGGUCACGUUGUGCUCUGCCACUACUUUAAUGCUUCUGUAAAAUCCAUUGGAAGUAAGUUGCUGUUUCUCUGAAUGCUGCUACAGCACAACCAAGGGAUGUGCGUUCAAACACCACUGCAAGACAAGAACUUUAGAGGAACUGCACAGUAUUGCAGAACGGGAAACAGAAGUCCAAAAGGGCAGAAGAAAGGCAAUUCUGAAGCUGCAAAAUCCAGCUAUUACAAUGCAGAAGUUAGGAGGAAACAGUAGAGAAAGGAGUGAGGAAAGCUAGAAGUUUCUCUUCUAAAGCCACUGUGGCUUAAUUGAAAGCAUUAAUAAUUGUAAAAACUUGGAACCUGUGCUGCUGUCAUCAAGUGUCUUUUUGCUACAGGCACAAUGCAAAAAGUGAGAAGAUAAGGCUUUGAGACACAUGCCUGGCAAAGCAAGGGAAAAUGAAACUCCUCCACUAUGCAUUUUAGGACAGGAAAAUUGUA